UGCGCAGGCGGACUGGUAAGUCAGAGGUGAAAUCUCGUCGCUUAACGACGAAACUGCCUUUGAUACUAUCAGUCUUGAAUCCGGUAGAGAUCUGUGGAAUUCCGAGUGUAGCAGUGAAAUGUGUAGAUAUUCGGAAGAACACCAGUGGCGAAGGCAGCAGAUUGGGCCGGUAUUGACGCUCAGGCACGAAAGCAUGGGGAUCAAACAGGAUUAGAGACCCUGGUAGUCCAUGCCCUAAACGAUGUUCACUUGAUGUCUGCCCUCAGGGUAGGUGUCGAAGCUAACGCGAUAAGUGAACCACCUGGGGAGUACGCUCGCAAGGGUGAA
rnacentral:rRNA from 1 species